ACCCCUUCCUCCCGCCUUGCUAGUUAAGGCCGCUGCUAUUAGAUCGAGCUCAGAAAGAGGACGAGGGGAGAGCUGGAGGGGUCUAUGUCUGCGCCGGGCAGAGGCGGCAGAAGAAGGUAGUGCACAGACAGCCAAACAGCUGCAUGGACCAGUGAGAGCCCUCGCAACCAGCUCCGCGCCAAAGGCUAGGCGGCGGCAGCGGUGGCAGUAGCAGCGGCAGCUCCGUGGAGGAGGAGGCUCUAGAGCAGGAGGACCGCGAGGAGGAGGAAGGGGAGAAGGAGGAGGGGAGAGGCGUCAGGCGCUACAGACAUUUGAGCAGCGCCUUUUUUUAGCUUUUGCGCGCUGACCGCCGCUCCGGAGUGCCAGCUAUGGAACAGGAGAAAUAUCUGCCUGAGCUGAUGGCAGAGAAAGAUAGCUUGGAUCCGUCCUUCGUGCAUGCAACGCGCCUCCUGGCCGAAGAAAUUGAAAAGUUUCAGGGUUCUGAUGGGAAAAAAGAAGAUGAAGAAAAGAAAUACCUUGAUGUCAUCAGCAACAAAAAUAUAAAACUGUCAGAACGAGUACUGAUUCCUGUCAAACAGUAUCCAAAGUUCAAUUUUGUGGGGAAAUUGCUUGGACCAAGAGGAAACUCCUUGAAGAGACUACAGGAAGAGACAGGUGCUAAAAUGUCUAUCCUGGGGAAAGGAUCAAUGAGAGAUAAAGCAAAGGAAGAAGAGCUAAGGAAGAGUGGGGAAGCCAAAUAUGCCCACCUGAGUGAUGAACUUCAUGUGUUAAUCGAAGUCUUUGCUCCACCUGGGGAAGCUUAUUCACGUAUGAGUCAUGCAUUGGAAGAGAUCAAAAAGUUCCUUGUUCCAGAUUACAAUGAUGAAAUUCGCCAGGAACAAUUGCGUGAGUUAUCUUAUUUGAAUGGCUCAGAGGACUCAAGUCGUGGAAGAGGUAUUAGAGGAAGAGGAAUCCGAAUACCUCCUACAGCUCCUUCAAGGGGCCGUGGGGGUGCAAUUCCUCCUCCCCUACCACCUGGAAGAGGUGUUCCAGCACCCAGGGGGACAACUGUGACACGUGGUGCUCUUCCAGUACCCCCAGUAGCAAGAGGGGUUCCAACUCCUAGAGCAAGGGGGGCUCCAGCUGUUCCAGGAUAUCGGCCACCCCCUCCCCCAGCUCAUGAAGCUUAUGAAGAAUAUGGAUAUGAUGAUGGUUAUGGGGGUGAAUAUGAUGACCAGAGCUAUGACACUUAUGAUAGCAGUUAUGCGACCCAAACACAAAGUGUGCCUGAAUAUUAUGACUAUGGUCAUGGAACAAGCGAAGACGCCUAUGACAGCUACGCACAAGAAGAAUGGGCCCCAACCCGUUCCAGCCUAAAGGCACCACCUCCAAGGGCAGCCAGAGGGGGAUACAGGGAACACCCCUAUGGUAGAUAUUGAAGGUCUUCCUCAUCUGUGACCUCACCUCAAAGACAAUUAAUAGCCUGUGGUCUCCACAUAAACAGCAACAAGACAAGUUUCUACAAGCAAAGGGCACAUAAAUGGGCAGCAGAUGUGAUGUGUUAGGAAGUGUUCAGGUAAGCUUCCCCCCUUCCCUUCUACUUAAAACAUGCCUUCCUCAGCAACAGAAAGUCACAGCUGGACAUGGCAAGAAAUGUGUACAUUAUAGCCUGCCUGCUACAAUUCUGAUAAAGUUGAGAUUGCUGCCAAAUAAACAGCUGUUUCACAUAUCCUUUAAAGUCAGUGAUCUUUUCUAAAUAUUUGGUGCAAAUUAAGUUUAAUAUUUAUUGAGACCAGUGUUCUGCACAUACAAAUUUCAUUGUCUUAAAGCCAAUGGUUUUUAAUAUCUGAUUCAUGUUGUUCUAUGAGUUACACUAAUUUUCAUCUUGCUGAUAAAAGGCCAAUGAUUGAUGUGCAAGAUUACCAAAAAAAAAAAAAAAAAAAAAAAACCCUCUGGUAUGAUUCAGUAUAAGGAGAAUUGGCUCUGGAAUCAGAGGCCCUGAGUUCAAAUUCUAACUCCAAGGUUUAUCUACUAUGUGACAUUGGGUAAGUCACUUAACUUUUCUGGACUUUAGUUUCUUCUUCCAUAAAAUCAGAGAGAUGAACAAAUUGAGUCUCUUAGAUCCCUUCCAGUUCAAGAUCUGGGAUUCUAUGAUAAAGAAAUGGUAAUAGUUGUUUAAAAUAGAGUGAUGAGGUUGAUGCUUUCAUCUUUUUCUCUUAGCUCCAAGCUUAGUAUAGAUAGAUCUUCAAUUAAAAGCCAUCUCCAUUCAACAAUAAUUUAAACCACUUGAGUAGUUAUACUUUUACUGAAGAUAACCCCAAGAUUUUUUUUUUAUUUGUUUUUUUUACUAAGGAAGCUGCUAACAAAACUAAAAAAAAAAAAAAAAAAUCAAUUUCCCCCUUGAAAUAUAUUUAUUCCUGAAAAACCUCAGAAAAACAUUUUAUACCCUCUUUUCCUCUCUCAAAUUGUUUAUAGGCUGAAAAAAAAAAAAGAAAAUAUCAUUUGCUGUUUCACAUGAUACUUUUUUUUCACUUUUCUAGCUUGUUAAAAUACCAUUUUAUACAUAUGAGUUCCCAAAAAGUCACCUCUGCCUUAGUACAGAAGUAAAAAAAAAAAAAAAAAAAAAAAAAAAAAAGAACUCCAAAGUCAAAGAAGGUAUUCAUCAUGCAUUAGAAAAAAAAAUUUUAAGUACUUCCCUAAGUGAAGCAUGAAAGCUAAAAAUGUGGUUUCUACCCAAUCCUUAAACAUUAAUGGACUCAUUUUCACAAAUCUAUUUUGGGGGAGAGGGUAAAACUUUAGAAACAAUAUCAUAUCAGAAAACAUUGAUUUACUUGAUUCAGUAGAGGACUUGCCCCAUCUUUCAAAUGCUAGUCUUCUGAUCAUUCCUUAGGGGUGGAACUAGACUUCAUGAAAGAGAGUAAUUUAGAGAAAAGAAGAAGAAUCAUGCUUUUGAUUCCUGCCUAUCCCCAAGGCAACAGAAACGGAAAAUAGGCCUCAGGAUACUUGGGCAACAAAAGACAAAGAUGACUGUAGGAUCUUCUGGGAAAGGGCAAAAAAUUCAGACUAAAGAUGAUUAUAUUUUUUUCUUUUCAAGCAAGAAAUUCCAUUCUGACUUAGGGUUUUUUAGUACUUGGUCUGAUCCAGAUCAAUCCCCCAAGGUGGGCACAGAUAAGCCUAAAUUCUCAUAGACUAUGACUUCUUAUAACUUAUCUAAAAACAUUAUCAAAGAUAGAAUGGAAAGACCAAUUAUCUGUGGUACCUUUGGUGGAUCAAUGAAGUCCUCCUAAGAUUUCUUUUCUCUAUACAUUAAUCCCAAGAUUGAACCCCUAAUGAAAUAAUGAUGUCAUUGAACAUAAUACUAAUAAUACUAGUCAUAUACAUAUAUGGACACUCACAAACACAUAUGCAUAUGUAUGCACGCAUAUGAGAGGCAUUUUGGCAUAGUUGAGAAAUAACCAUCUUCAAAAUCUAAAAUAUACCUCUGUCCAAGGAGUGCUUUUGACACAUGUUGGCUGUGUGAUCCUAGGCAAUUCAUUUAACUAACUUCUCAGCCCCCCCCCAAAAAAAAGGGGGGGGGGAAGUGGAGGGGAGAAGGAAUAUAUAUUCAACUGUAGUAUUUGUGAUCUCUCUAAUUUGGGGAAUCUGCCCCAUAAUAAAAACUCCCUCUGCCUAUGUACAUCCACAAUUUAGUACUCCUAAAAAAUUGUCUGGGGUAUUGAGAGGUUAAGUGAUUUGCCCAGGAUUGCAAAUUUAUCAGAGGUGGUCUUUAAACACAGAUGUCUUUCUGACACUGAAGCCUUUCUGCCUAUCUGUCUCUCAGUCCUCCUUUUCGUUCUUUGUCUCUUCUCCUUCCUUCUUUCACUUCAUCCUUGCUUCUCUCUUUCCCUUUUUUCUCUUUCCUCUUCCCUCUUCCACACCAUAACUUCAAAUCUUUUUGAGAGGGCUCUUUAUUGUCAUAUAAAUUAUUUUAAAAAAAAAAGAAAAAAAGAAACCAUAUUUAAAGGGGUUUGUAGCAGUCGUUACUAAACACAGGAAAUUGAACAUCUAUUUCUGACAACGUUGUUCAUCAUUCUAAACCUAAGGUUCAGACUGCAUAAUUAAAAACAAACAAACAUAUAACCAAAUAAGAUUCUGUAAGAAUUCUGCCUUUGUUUUGGGUUUUUUUUUUUCGUCCAGUUAUGGAUAGGCAGUGAAACUAGUGGUAAAUGCUCUAAACCUUCAAUCAAAAACCUGGAUUGAAUUCUGACUUAGACAAGUAAUUUUAGCUCUCUGAUUCCUUGUUUUUUCAUCUGUAAAAUAGGAACAAAAAUUAUUUUGGAGCCUACAUCAGAGUAUAGUUUGAAGGGAAUCUAAAUUAUACAUGUGAUACAUAUGUUAUUGUUAUGAAACUAUUUGUAGAUGAAAAAUUAUUUCUGUAGUUGAAUUUAUGUGGUAUGUCUGUAGAUACUAUGUGAUCCCUUUUAAGCAAAAACGUUAUUAUUCAAAAUAGUGACAGUUACUAAAUUCCCCUAAGAGAAAGUGAUUAAAUGAUUAAAUAAUAUUUUAAAACUCAAAGUAUUAUUCAUUGUAAAAUGUAACCAAUUAAAAUGUUAUUAUUUGUUAUAAUUUACUCACCUAGACAUGAAGGGACAUUUUUAAGUCCUCAAAGUAUUACUUAGAAUACAAUCCAAUUCAAUCCAACACAUAUUUAUAAAAUAAAAAAAUAAAAAAGAGUUCCCAUGUACAGAGCAUAAAGCAAGGGAUUUUGGAAUCAAAGGCAAAAUGCAAAAAAAAAAAAAAAAAAAAAAAGUUCUCUGCUUUCAAGAAUCUUACAUUCUACUAGGAAAAUAUAUGAAAACAGAGAAGUUGAUAUAUCAUUCUAUCUAAUAGUAGAUAUAUCAUUUUAUGUUAUUUUAAGAGGAUAGAGUUUAUUCUGAUGUAUAUUAUUAUAGUAUCUUGCAUAUCUUCAGUUUAAACUCAUUAAAUUGGAAAUAUGAUUUUCUUCCUUAGAGAGUCUAUAUACAUUUUUUAAUAUUAUCAUUACUCCACAUUAUGUUAUUUUAUAUUUUUCAUUUAUUCUAGGCUAGCAUUUUUUGCUGAGGCAAUUGGGACUAAGUGACUUGCCCAGGUCACACAACAAGGAAGUGUUAAGUGACUGAGGUAAGAUUUGAACUCAGGUUCUCCUGACUUCAGGGCUGUUACUCUAUCCACUACACCAACUAGCUGCCCUGGCCAGCAUAUUUUUAUAUCACUAUACCCACUGUAAUCUGGUCAAGAUUCAUGCACCUUGAGGACAACAACUGUGCCCUUAUUAUCUUGUAUCUAGGCUAGCAUCUGGCAUGGUGCUAUGCAUAUAGCAAGGCCUUAAUAAAUGAGGAAUAAGUAGCUGAAUAUAUAAAUGAAGGAGACAAACGUGUGUUGAAAAGAAACAAUAUAUGUGAGACUCUAUACUUUAAAAGUGCUUUAGGUCCUUUUUUUCUUUUACUUGCAAUAUAAAACCUGUAGUUGAUAACCUCAAAUAUUCUAUAUACUCUGUGAUUUUGUCAAACCACCAAGUAAUUACAAGUUUGUUGCAUUUUAAGAGCACUGAAUGUCACAUUCUCUUCAUUUUACAAAGGCAAUGUGAGUCUAAAGUGCUGUCUAAAAUAGCUGCAUAUUUAUCAAAUUGUAUGCAUUCUAUCUUGUUAAAGUACUACAAGCUAAAUUGGCUAGAAAUAUGUAAAUUUAGAUAGUGUCAUAUAGAGUAAUAUUUUAUAGUACUUCAAUAUAUGACUAAAUUACUUCCCACAACUCAAAAAAAUAAAGAGAAAAUCUCUUUAAUGGACAUAUUUUGGAAGGAAUGUUUGGGGGUUGAGCAAUUAAGGAAAAGAAAAUGAUGUUUUAGAAAAAUUGCACAUACAAGAUAUUAAAAUGGUACAUUGUUAUUAGAAAGGCCAUUCUUUCUCAAAAUACAAUAAAUUUUCAUUGCAUGAUAUAAAUCAUCUAUUAAAAGAACUAUCUUAUCAUUUGUUUAUGACAGCUCAUCAAGGGGAUCUGUUUACUUUAUUACUUUCCAUUUCUAAACACUGUAAGACUGGUCUCUAUCAUUCUCAUUAGAUAUUCAGUUUUUCUCAUAAGAAGCUAAAAUGCAUAGUCUUGAAAUAUUGGCCAUAUUAGAAAGUAUAUGGACACUAUUGUGCUAAGAUAAAAGUUCUUUGAGAAUAAAUAUUAUUUCAUCCUUUAUGCUCAUAUCCCCACUGCCUAACACAGUGUCUGUCACAUAGUAGCUGCUUAAAAAAUAUCUGUUAGAGUAAAUAAAUGACUAAUAUGCUAUUUUGAAAGUUUAAAUAUUUUAAAAUAUCUUAUUGCUUUAUAGUUAAUUAAUGUGGUUAUAUAGAUCAAAAUUAAGUAUCAUACAAUAAAUCUACAAGGGUUGCAGACUUGAAAAGUAUUACUUCCUUAACAUGCUUGUGAGAAAGUUUCUCAUCUCUAACUUAAGGACUGGAAUAUUUUAUUUGAAAAGGAAAAAAAAAAUACUUAGUGGGCUAUCCAUUAUUAUAUCACCUCAACUUUAGGAUCUUUUUAAAAUUCCUGUGGUAUUCUUGUUCUUUAAAAUAUAAUAUAAGAAUGAUUCUCUCUGAGAGUGAGCAGGUUUCUUGGGGAGGUUUUCUGGAGGCAGCCUUAGUUGCAGUUGAAAGUAAUAAUCACCUCAAAACGCAGCCAGGUGAUAAAAUGCAAAUGUUUAUUUUCUCCUUCCAAAAUAGCCCGGUUAGUUGAGGCCUAUCUCUCUGCUUGGUUCCAAGAGCUCUUUCAGAUUGUCCUUUGCUUCUGCCUCUGCUUUCUUCAGCCUCCAGCCAGCCAAGUGGAAAAUGGAAUGAAUCUCUCUUGCCUCAGAGAAACGGCUUGUGAGCUUCCUCCCAGAGUGCUCCUCUAGGACCCGUCAAUGUUCCUAAGUAACUCUCUCUAACCUGAAGUAACUCUCUUCUGAGAGAGGGCUUCUGGCUGAACUCACUUGACACUCCCCUCUCAAUCUAAUUCAGCUGAACUCCCUCUGAGAGCCUCUGUCUGUUUCUUAUAUAUGAGAGAGUGGGAUUGUGGGAUAUCUCCCAGCAUGCUCUCUGGCCCUAAGAGCUGCAAGGGAGGUGUGAAUUCGAAUAUCUCAUACUAAACCCUGAAAUCUCCCAAACGUGUGAACUCCAAUGAGUAAAGGUUUGCACACAAGCAUUGAGUCAAUUAGUUCUACUUAGUACCUUGUUUCAGGUUCUAGCCCAAAACAUCUUGUAAGAUCAGAUCAAUGACACUGAACCAUGCUAAAUUAGAUAAUUAUUGUCUCUAUCAACUCUAAUGACUUAAAAAUUUGUAAAGAUUCCAACAAAUUCCUUAAUCUUUUUCUUUGGAAUAUAACCAUGCAAAACUUCACUUAUAAUUUAACUUUAAUAUAAAAGACAAAUAUCUUUAAAAAAAAAAAAAAAAGCUUUUGAGUGGAAAUCACUUAUAUAGCACAUGAAUUAACAGCAUUCUAUUUAACAACUAAUCAAUGUUUUAUAAAAAAUCCUCAAUCUUUUACUUCUUUCUCCCUCCUUAACUCUACCUCUUGGCUUGCCUGGCUUUCUUAAAAUCUUGGCUAAAAUCUCACUUCUGCAAAAAAUCUUCCCAGUCCUUCACAAUUCAAAUGCUUUCUUCAUUUAAAUUAUCUCCAAAUUAUUUUUAAUAUCUUGUUUGUAACAAGCUAUUUGCAUAUGGUAUCACCUGUUAGACUUCACAUUUUUAGAAAAAAAGAAUGGUUUUUGUUUUGUUUUGUUUUGUUUGUAUCCUUAGCACAGUACAGGUCACUUUAAUAGUUGCUUAAUGCAUGCUUGUUAAUUUUACCAUCUGAACUAGCAUCAUAGUAUCUGUUGUAAACUAGGUAUAAAUAUAGAUACCCCCUCCACUAAAGAACUCCUACAUUUCUUCAUUAUGGAAUGAAGAUGAUCUGUGGUUCUCAAGGGCUAGUCCAGAAGUCCAGGAGAUCACAAAGUCUGACAGAUACUACCAAAUAAGCAAGUCCAACAGUAGAGGUACAGCAAUAUUUAAUAACUGUAGUUGAAGAAUAAUACCAACCAAGUUGAGAAAGAUAUUGGCAUAUUGACCAUGGAGCAAUAUUUGUUUUGGAAAGAUUUUUUUGCCAGAUUUAUUUAAGAUAGUCAACUAGUUUAUCUAGGGGGGAAUGAAGAUGAUCUGUGGUUCUCAAGGGCUAGUCCAGAAGUCCAGGAGAUCACAAAGUCUGACAGAUACUACCAAAUAAGCAAGUCCAACAAGUAGAGGUACAGCAAUAUUUAAUAACUGUAGUUGAAGAAUAAUACCAACCAAGUUGAGAAAGAUAUUGUCAUAUUGACCAUGGAGCAAUAUUUGUUUUGGAAAGAUUUUUUUGCCAGAUUUAUUUAAGAUAGUCAACUAGUUUAUCU